rnacentral:rRNA from 1 species
AUUGAACGCUGGCGGCAUGCUUUACACAUGCAAGUCGAACGGCAGCGCGGGCUUCGGCCUGGCGGCGAGUGGCGAACGGGUGAGUAAUACAUCGGAACGUGCCCAGUAGUGGGGGAUAGCUCGGCGAAAGCCGGAUUAAUACCGCAUACGACCUGAGGGUGAAAGCGGGGGAUCUUCGGACCUCGCGCUAUUGUAGCGGCCGAUGGCAGAUUAGCUAGUUGGUGGGGUAAAGGCCUACCAAGGCGACGAUCGGUAGCUGGUCUGAGAGGACGACCAGCCACACUGGGACUGAGACACGGCCGAGACUCCUGCGGGAGGCAGCAGUGGGGAAUUUUGGACAAUGGGCGAAAGCCUGAUCCAGCAAUGCCGCGUGUGUGAUGAAGGCCUUCGGGUUGUAAAGCACUUUUGGCGGGAACGAAAAGGACUGUGCCAAUACCACGGUUCGAUGACGGUACCCGCAGAAUAAGCACCGGCUAACUACGUG